UGGGGAAUAUUGCACAAUGGGCGAAAGCCUGAUGCAGCAACGCCGCGUGAGUGAUGAAGGUCUUCGGAUUGUAAAGCUCUGUCUUUUGGGACGAUAAUGACGGUACCAAAGGAGGAAGCCACGGCUAACUACGUGCCAGCAGCCGCGGUAAUACGUAGGUGGCGAGCGUUGUCCGGAUUUACUGGGCGUAAAGGGUGCGUAGGCGGAUGUUUAAGUGAGAUGUGAAAUACCCGGGCUUAACUUGGGUGCUGCAUUUCAAACUGGAUAUCUAGAGUGCAGGGAGGAGGAAGAAUUG
rnacentral:rRNA from 1 species